AACGAACGCUGGCGGCAGGCCUAACACAUGCAAGUCGAGCGAACCCUUCGGGGUUAGCGGCGGACGGGUUAGUAACGCGUGGGAAUAUACCCUUUGGUACGGAAUAGCCUCGGGAAACUGAGAGUAAUACCGUAUGUGCCCUUCGGGGAAGGAUUAUCGCCAAAGGAUUAGCCCGCGUUGGAUUAGAUAGUUGGUGGGGUAAGUGGCCUACCAAGUCUACGAUCCAUAGCUGGUUUGAGAGGAUGAUCAGCAACACUGGGACUGAGACACGGCCCAGACUCCUACGGGAGGCAGCAGUGGGGAAUCUUAGACAAUGGGCGGCAAGCCUGAUCUAGCCAUGCCGCGU
rnacentral:rRNA from 1 species